rnacentral:lncRNA from 1 species
AUCAUUGGUUACGCAAGAAUAAAAUUGAAAAUAAGAAGAAACACAGAUGAAUAGAGUGACAAAAUGAGAGUGUUAGAGAUGUGUAACCAUCAAAAGAUCAACCAAUAUCAGAAAUCACUUGAUUUGUACAUUUGAUAGAUAAGAAAGAAAACUACUCAUAAAAGAUAGAAAAAAAAGGAGAAUAUGACAAUUUUUCAGCAGUACAUAUUUUUUUACCCUUUGUAUUUUGUUUAUACAAUCAUAAAGUGAUUAUGAACCAGAGAUUUCUAUUAAAUAAUGUAAGCUAAAUAUUUUUAUUAAGUACAUCCUCAAUUAUAUGAAUCAACCAAACAUGUAAUCAGUUAAAAACCUUGACAAUAAUUAGUUUAGAAAGAUAUGUAUUGAACAUCAAAAUUAAUUAAAUAUAUACUUAUAUCCUUAAGAACAUAAAAUGUCAUCUUCUAUAUUCUGAUAAUUAAACAAUUAACAUAAGUUAUAUAGAUUCAAAAAUAUGCUAAAAUACUAAUUAUAUGUAAAAAAAUGAAAAAGAAAAAAGAAAAAAGAAUAAUUACAAGAAAAUGAAAUAUAACAAAAGAAAAUAGAAUAAUUACAAGAAAAUGAAAAUGAGACCGUAUGUUAUAAAGGAAACAAACUCAAUCAUUUUUCCAGUGUUACAUUAGCACCACCUUUAUUAUUGUGAGAUCCUCAUAAUCCUAACAAACAUCUCAAUCUCAUCCAAACAAUACGAAAAACCCUAUCAUAAUCAUUGGUGAUGCAAGAAUAAAGUUUAAAAUAAGAGGAAACACAGAUAAAUGGAGUGACAAAAUGUGAGAGUUAGAGAUGUGUAACCAUCAAAAGAUCAACCUAUAUCAGAAAUCACUUGAUUUGUACAUUUCAUAGAUAAGAAAGAAAAUUACUCAUAAAAGUUAGAACAAAAAGGAAAACAUGACAAUUUUUCAGCAGUACGAAUUUUUUUACCCUUUUUAUUUUGUUUAUACAAUCAUAAAGUGAUUAUGAACCAGAGUUUUCUAUUAAGUAUUAUAAAGUAAAUAUUUAUAUUAAGUACAACCUGAAUUAUAUAAAUCAAUCAAACAUGUAAUGAGUAACAAACCUUGACAUUAAUUAGUUUAGAAAGAUAUGUAUUGAACAUCAAAAUUUAUUAAAUAUAUACUUAUAUCCUAAAGAACAUAAAAUGUCAUCUUCUAUAUUCUGAUAAUUAAACAAUUAACAUAAGUUAUGUAGAUUAAAAAAUAUGCUAAAAUACUAAUUAUAAGUAGAAAAUGAAAAAGAAAAAAAGAAAAAAGAAUAAUUACAAGAAAAUGAAAAAGAAAAAAUGAAAAUAGAAUAAUUACAAGAAAAUGAAAAUGUGACCGUAUGUUAUAAAGGAAACCAACUCAAUCAUUUUUCCAGUGUUACAUUAGCACCAUCUUUAUUAUUUUGAGAUCCUUAUAAUCCUAACAACCAUCUCAAUCUCAUCAAAAUAAUACGAAAACCCUAUCAUAAUCAUUGGUGACGCAAGAAUAAAAUUGAAAAUAAGAAGAAACACAGAUGAAUAGAGUGACAAAAUGAGAGAGUUAGAGAUGUGUAACCAUCAAAAGAUCAACCUAUAUCAGAAAUCACUUGAUUUGUACAUUUGAUAGAUAAGAAAGAAAAUUACUCAUAAAAGAUAGAAAAAAAAGGAAAAUAUGACAAUUUUUCAGCAGUACGUAUUUUUUUACCCUUUUUAUUUUGUUUAUACAAUCAUAAAGUGAUUAUGAACCAGAGUUUUCUAUUAAGUAUUGUAAAGUAAAUAUUUAUAUUAAGUACAACCUCAAUUAUAUAAAUCAAUCAAACAUGUAAUGAGUAACAAACCUUGACAUUAAUUAGUUUAGAAAGAUAUGUAUUGAACAUCAAAAUUUAUUAAAUAUAUACUUAUAUCCUAAAGAACAUAAAAUGUCAUCUUCUAUAUUCUGAUAAUUAAACAAUUAACAUAAGUUAUGUAGAUUAAAAAAUAUGCUAAAAUACUAAUUAUAAGUAGAAAAUGAAAAAGAAAAAAAGAAAAAAGAAUAAUUACAAGAAAAUGAAAAAGAAAAAAUGAAAAUAGAAUAAUUACAAGAAAAUGAAAAUGUGACCGUAUGUUAUAAAGGAAACCAACUCAAUCAUUUUUCCAGUGUUACAUUAGCACCAUCUUUAUUAUUUUGAGAUCCUUAUAAUCCUAACAACCAUCUCAAUCUCAUCAAAAUAAUACGAAAACCCUAUCAUAAUCAUUGGUGACGCAAGAAUAAAAUUGAAAAUAAGAAGAAACACAGAUGAAUAGAGUGACAAAAUGAGAGAGUUAGAGAUGUGUAACCAUCAAAAGAUCAACCUAUAUCAGAAAUCACUUGAUUUGUACAUUUGAUAGAUAAGAAAGAAAAUUACUCAUAAAAGAUAGAAAAAAAAGGAAAAUAUGACAAUUUUUCAGCAGUACGUAUUUUUUUACCCUUUUUAUUUUGUUUAUACAAUCAUAAAGUGAUUAUGAACCAGAGUUUUCUAUUAAGUAUUGUAAAGUAAAUAUUUAUAUUAAGUACAACCUCAAUUAUAUAAAUCAAUCAAACAUGUAAUGAGUAACAAACCUUGACAUUAAUUAGUUUAGAAAGAUAUGUAUUGAACAUCAAAAUUUAUUAAAUAUAUACUUAUAUCCUAAAGAACAUAAAAUGUCAUCUUCUAUAUUCUGAUAAUUAAACAAUUAACAUAAGUUAUGUAGAUUAAAAAAUAUGCUAAAAUACUAAUUAUAAGUAGAAAAUGAAAAAGAAAAAAAGAAAAAAGAAUAAUUACAAGAAAAUGAAAAAGAAAAAAUGAAAAUAGAAUAAUUACAAGAAAAUGAAAAUGUGACCGUAUGUUAUAAAGGAAACCAACUCAAUCAUUUUUCCAGUGUUACAUUAGCACCAUCUUUAUUAUUUCGAGAUCCUUAUAAUCCUAAAAACCAUCUCAAUCUCAUCAAAAUAAUACGAAAACCCUAUCAUAAUAAUUGGUGACGCAAGAAUAAAAUUGAAAAUAAGAAGAAACACAGAUGAAUAGAGUGACAAAAUGAGAGAGUUAGAGAUGUGUAACCAUCAAAAGAUCAUCCUAUAUCAGAAAUCACUUGAUUUGUACAUUUGAUAGAUAAGAAAGUAAACUACUCAUAAAAGAUAGAAAAAAAAGGGAAAUAUGACAAUUUUUCAGCAGUACGUAUUUUUUUACCCAUUUUAUUUUGUUUAUACAAUCAUAAAGUCAUUAUGAACCAGAAUUUUCUAUUAAGUAUUGUAAAGCAAAUAUUUAUAUUAAGUACAACCUCAAUUAUAUAAAUCAAUCAAACAUGUAAUGAGUAACAAACCUUGACAUUAAUUAGUUUAGAAAGAUAUGUAUUCUGAUAAUUAAACAAUUAACAUAAGUUAUGUAGAUUAAAAAAUAUGCUAAAAUACUAAUUAUAAGUAGAUAAUGAAAAAGAAAAAAAGAAAAAAGAAUAAUUACAAGAAAAUGAAAAAGAAAAAAAGAAAAUAGAAUAAUUACAAGAAAAUGAAAAUGAGACUGUAUGUUAUAAAGAAUAAUAGAAUAAAAUUUAAAAUAAGAGGAAACACAGAUGAGUGGAGUGACAAAAUGAGAGAGUUGGAGAUGUGUAACCAUCAAAAGAUCAACCUAUAUCAGAAAUCACUUGAUUUGUACAUUUCAUAGAUAAGGAAGAAAAUUACUCAUAAAAGAUAGAAAAAAAUGGGAAAUAUGACAAUUUUUCAGCAGUACGUAUUUUUUUACCCAUUUUAUUUUGUUUAUACAAUCAUAAAGUCAUUAUGAACCAGAGUUUUCUAUUAAGUAUUGUAAUGUAAAUAUUUAUAUUAAGUACAACCUCAAUUAUAUAAAUCAAUCAAACAUGUAAUGAGUAACAAACCUUGACAUUAAUUAGUUUAGAAAGAUAUGUAUUGAACAUCAAAAUUUAUUAAAUAUAUACUUAUAUCCUAAAGAACAUAAAAUGUCAUCUUCUAUAUUCUGAUAAUUAAACAAUUAACAUAAGUUAUGUAGAUUAAAAAAUAUGCUAAAAUACUAAUUAUAAGUAGAAAAUGAAAAAGAAAAAAAGAAAAAAGAAUAAUUACAAGAAAAUGAAAAAGAAAAAAUGAAAAUAGAAUAAUUACAAGAAAAUGAAAAUGUGACCGUAUGUUAUAAAGGAAACCAACUCAAUCAUUUUUCCAGUGUUACAUUAGCACCAUCUUUAUUAUUUUGAGAUCCUUAUAAUCCUAACAACCAUCUCAAUCUCAUCAAAAUAAUACGAAAACCCUAUCAUAAUCAUUGGUGACGCAAGAAUAAAAUUGAAAAUAAGAAGAAACACAGAUGAAUAGAGUGACAAAAUGAGAGAGUUAGAGAUGUGUAACCAUCAAAAGAUCAACCUAUAUCAGAAAUCACUUGAUUUGUACAUUUGAUAGAUAAGAAAGAAAAUUACUCAUAAAAGAUAGAAAAAAAAGGAAAAUAUGACAAUUUUUCAGCAGUACGUAUUUUUUUACCCUUUUUAUUUUGUUUAUACAAUCAUAAAGUGAUUAUGAACCAGAGUUUUCUAUUAAGUAUUGUAAAGUAAAUAUUUAUAUUAAGUACAACCUCAAUUAUAUAAAUCAAUCAAACAUGUAAUGAGUAACAAACCUUGACAUUAAUUAGUUUAGAAAGAUAUGUAUUGAACAUCAAAAUUUAUUAAAUAUAUACUUAUAUCCUAAAGAACAUAAAAUGUCAUCUUCUAUAUUCUGAUAAUUAAACAAUUAACAUAAGUUAUGUAGAUUAAAAAAUAUGCUAAAAUACUAAUUAUAAGUAGAAAAUGAAAAAGAAAAAAAGAAAAAAGAAUAAUUACAAGAAAAUGAAAAAGAAAAAAUGAAAAUAGAAUAAUUACAAGAAAAUGAAAAUGUGACCGUAUGUUAUAAAGGAAACCAACUCAAUCAUUUUUCCAGUGUUACAUUAGCACCAUCUUUAUUAUUUUGAGAUCCUUAUAAUCCUAACAACCAUCUCAAUCUCAUCAAAAUAAUACGAAAACCCUAUCAUAAUCAUUGGUGACGCAAGAAUAAAAUUGAAAAUAAGAAGAAACACAGAUGAAUAGAGUGACAAAAUGAGAGAGUUAGAGAUGUGUAACCAUCAAAAGAUCAACCUAUAUCAGAAAUCACUUGAUUUGUACAUUUGAUAGAUAAGAAAGAAAAUUACUCAUAAAAGAUAGAAAAAAAAGGAAAAUAUGACAAUUUUUCAGCAGUACGUAUUUUUUUACCCUUUUUAUUUUGUUUAUACAAUCAUAAAGUGAUUAUGAACCAGAGUUUUCUAUUAAGUAUUGUAAAGUAAAUAUUUAUAUUAAGUACAACCUCAAUUAUAUAAAUCAAUCAAACAUGUAAUGAGUAACAAACCUUGACAUUAAUUAGUUUAGAAAGAUAUGUAUUGAACAUCAAAAUUUAUUAAAUAUAUACUUAUAUCCUAAAGAACAUAAAAUGUCAUCUUCUAUAUUCUGAUAAUUAAACAAUUAACAUAAGUUAUGUAGAUUAAAAAAUAUGCUAAAAUACUAAUUAUAAGUAGAAAAUGAAAAAGAAAAAAAGAAAAAAGAAUAAUUACAAGAAAAUGAAAAAGAAAAAAUGAAAAUAGAAUAAUUACAAGAAAAUGAAAAUGUGACCGUAUGUUAUAAAGGAAACCAACUCAAUCAUUUUUCCAGUGUUACAUUAGCACCAUCUUUAUUAUUUUGAGAUCCUUAUAAUCCUAACAACCAUCUCAAUCUCAUCAAAAUAAUACGAAAACCCUAUCAUAAUCAUUGGUGACGCAAGAAUAAAAUUGAAAAUAAGAAGAAACACAGAUGAAUAGAGUGACAAAAUGAGAGAGUUAGAGAUGUGUAACCAUCAAAAGAUCAACCUAUAUCAGAAAUCACUUGAUUUGUACAUUUGAUAGAUAAGAAAGAAAAUUACUCAUAAAAGAUAGAAAAAAAAGGAAAAUAUGACAAUUUUUCAGCAGUACGUAUUUUUUUACCCUUUUUAUUUUGUUUAUACAAUCAUAAAGUGAUUAUGAACCAGAGUUUUCUAUUAAGUAUUGUAAAGUAAAUAUUUAUAUUAAGUACAACCUCAAUUAUAUAAAUCAAUCAAACAUGUAAUGAGUAACAAACCUUGACAUUAAUUAGUUUAGAAAGAUAUGUAUUGAACAUCAAAAUUUAUUAAAUAUAUACUUAUAUCCUAAAGAACAUAAAAUGUCAUCUUCUAUAUUCUGAUAAUUAAACAAUUAACAUAAGUUAUGUAGAUUAAAAAAUAUGCUAAAAUACUAAUUAUAAGUAGAAAAUGAAAAAGAAAAAAAGAAAAAAGAAUAAUUACAAGAAAAUGAAAAAGAAAAAAUGAAAAUAGAAUAAUUACAAGAAAAUGAAAAUGUGACCGUAUGUUAUAAAGGAAACCAACUCAAUCAUUUUUCCAGUGUUACAUUAGCACCAUCUUUAUUAUUUUGAGAUCCUUAUAAUCCUAACAACCAUCUCAAUCUCAUCAAAAUAAUACGAAAACCCUAUCAUAAUCAUUGGUGACGCAAGAAUAAAAUUGAAAAUAAGAAGAAACACAGAUGAAUAGAGUGACAAAAUGAGAGAGUUAGAGAUGUGUAACCAUCAAAAGAUCAACCUAUAUCAGAAAUCACUUGAUUUGUACAUUUGAUAGAUAAGAAAGAAAAUUACUCAUAAAAGAUAGAAAAAAAAGGAAAAUAUGACAAUUUUUCAGCAGUACGUAUUUUUUUACCCUUUUUAUUUUGUUUAUACAAUCAUAAAGUGAUUAUGAACCAGAGUUUUCUAUUAAGUAUUGUAAAGUAAAUAUUUAUAUUAAGUACAACCUCAAUUAUAUAAAUCAAUCAAACAUGUAAUGAGUAACAAACCUUGACAUUAAUUAGUUUAGAAAGAUAUGUAUUGAACAUCAAAAUUUAUUAAAUAUAUACUUAUAUCCUAAAGAACAUAAAAUGUCAUCUUCUAUAUUCUGAUAAUUAAACAAUUAACAUAAGUUAUGUAGAUUAAAAAAUAUGCUAAAAUACUAAUUAUAAGUAGAAAAUGAAAAAGAAAAAAAGAAAAAAGAAUAAUUUCAAGAAAAUGAAAUAGAAAAAAUGAAAAUAGAAUAAUUACAAGAAAAUGAAAAUGUGACCGUAUGUUAUAAAGGAAACCAACUCAAUCAUUUUUCCAGUGUUACAUUAGCACCAUCUUUAUUAUUUCGAGAUCCUUAUAAUCCUUACAACCAUCUCAAUCUCAUCAAAACAAUACGAAAACCCUAUCAUAAUCAUUGGUGACGCAAGAAUAAAAUUGAAAAUAAGGGGAAACACAGAUGAAUGGAGUGACAAAAUGAGAGAGUUAGAGAUGUGUAACCAUCAAAAGAUCAUCCUAUAUCAGAAAUCACUUGAUUUGUACAUUUGAUAGAUAAGAAAGAAAACUACUCAUAAAAGAUAGAAAAAUAGGAGACUAUGACAAUUUUUCAGCUGUACGUAUUUAUUUACCAUUUGUAUUUUGUUUAUACAAUCAUAAAGUGAUUAUGAACCAGAGAUUUCUAUUAAAUAAUGUAAGCUAAAUAUUUCUAUUAAGUACAUCCUCAAUUAUAUAAAUCAAUGAAACAUGUAAUGAGUUAAAAACCUUGACAUUAAUUAGUUUAGAAAGAUAUGUAUUGAACAUCAAAAUUUAUUAAAUAUAUACUUAUAUCC